UGGGGAAUAUUGGUCAAUGGGCGAGAGCCUGAACCAGCCAAGCCGCGUGAAGGAAGAAGUAUCUCGGUAUGUAAACUUCUAUCAGCAGGGAAGAUAAUGACGGUACCCAAGGAGGAAGCCCCGGCUAACUACGUGCCAGCAGCCGCGGUAAUACGUAGGGGGCAAGCGUUAUCCGGAUUUACUGGGUGUAAAGGGAGCGUAGACGGAUGUGCAAGUCUGAAGUGAAAGCCCGGGGCUCAACCCCGGGACUGCUUUGGAAACUGUGUAUCUAGAGUGCCGGAGAGGUAAGCGGAAUUCCCAGUGUAGCGGUGAAAUGCGUAGAUAUUGGGAGGAACACCAGUGGCAAAGGCGGCUUACUGGACGGUAACUGACGUUGAGGCUCGAAAGCGUGGGGAGCAAACAGGAUUAGAUACC
rnacentral:rRNA from 1 species